UACGUAGGGUGCGAGCGUUAAUCGGAAUUACUGGGCGUAAAGCGUGCGCAGGCGGUUAUGUAAGACAGAUGUGAAAUCCCCGGGCUCAACCUGGGAACUGCAUUUGUGACUGCAUCGCUGGAGUGCGGCAGAGGGGGAUGGAAUUCCGCGUGUAGCAGUGAAAUGCGUAGAUAUGCGGAGGAACACCGAUGGCGAAGGCAGUCCCCUGGGCCUGCACUGACGCUCAUGCACGAAAGCGUGGGGAGCAAACAGG
rnacentral:rRNA from 1 species